AUUGAACGCUGACGGCAUGCCUUACACAUGCAAGUCGAACGGUAACAGGUCUUCGGAUGCUGACGAGUGGCGAACGGGUGAGUAAUACAUCGGAACGUGCCUAGUAGUGGGGGAUAACUACUCGAAAGAGUGGCUAAUACCGCAUGAGAUCUACGGAUGAAAGCAGGGGAUCGCAAGACCUUGUGCUACUAGAGCGGCCGAUGGCAGAUUAGGUAGUUGGUGGGUUAAGACCAUACCAAGCCGACGAUCUGUAGCUGGUCUGUGAGGACGAUCAGCCACACUGGGACUGAGACACGGCCCAGACUCCGACGGGAGGCAGCAGUGGGGAAUUUUGGACAAUGGGCGCAAGCCUGAUCCAGCAAUGCCGCGUGCAGGAUGAAGGCCUUCGGGUUGUAAACUGCUUUUGUACGGAACGAAAAGCCCUGGGUUAAUACCCUGGGGUCAUGACGGUACCGUAAGAAUAAGCACCGGCUAACUACGUGCCAGCAGCCGCGGUAAGAC
rnacentral:rRNA from 1 species